rnacentral:rRNA from 1 species
UACAGAGGUCUCAAGCGUUGUUCGGAUUCAUUGGGCGUAAAGGGUGCGUAGGUGGCGGGGUAAGUCAGGUGUGAAAUCUCGGAGCUCAACUCCGAAACUGCACUUGAUACUGCCUUGCUCGAGUACUGGAGAGGAGAUUGGAAUUUACGGUGUAGCAGUGAAAUGCGUAGAUAUCGUAAGGAAGACCAGUGGCGAAGGCGAAUCUCUGGACAGUUACUGACACUGAGGCACGAAAGGCCAGGGGAGCAAACAGG